GGCUUAAAAGCUGUCAACGGUUGACCAGGGCUCCCUGACCUGUACAGGCCUCUGCUAUGGGGGUGAUGGCCAGUCCUGGUGUCUGAGUGAUU